GGGCUUAGGCCCAAAACCAAACCUAAUGCUAAACCUGAAUCCAUCACCAGCAAGCAUGAAGACAAACUCAUAAACUGAAGCCACCAACAAUCCACAAGCUGAAAAACGGAAUCAAUCUAUUUCACUAAGCUAUAUCUGUAAAACGCUUCUCAAAAUGGAAAGCUUCUCGGAGAAUCACGAUUCCUUCAUAAGUUUUGCUCGUGUUUCAGAUUGUGCUUCAGAGUUGGAUCAUCAUCAUUGCAUCACCAUCAUAACAUGGAUUGUGUUUUGGGAAGUUCCUCAUCGCGAUUUCAAAGCAUUAGCUUGCGCUUCGGAUUAUACUUUGAAGUUUUCAGCAUCGUUGCAAAGUUCAUGAUUCACAUCAUUGAUUCAACAAUUCAAAGCUUUACAUCAACCACACUCCUAAUUGCGUUUAAUCUCAACGAAUUCGAUUGAAACCGAAAUGAAAUGGUAACAUAGAACAACAAGAACAAAUGCGGAUUGCAGCGAGAGAUAAUCACCAAAUCAGGUACUUGUCCGCUUCUUUUUCUCUUUCUCUUCGUGCUGCUUCUUCUAUUCUUCGAGCUUCUUCUGAUAUGUUGUGAAUCCUUGCAUGCAUGAGUUGGAGCGACUCCUGAUAUCUGCAGAUAAUGAACUUGGUGAAUUGGAACUGAAUUCAAAAAUGAGAAUGAGAGAGAAACCACUUGGGAGUGAAAGAGCUAUUGGAGUGUGAAUCCUGGAUGAUUCUGCAGCAACUCCUCCUUCCACUUCUGAUGAAGGUAUGCACGAUUAUAUAGACAAAGUUGUAACCGAAUCGGGCAUUCAAAAUGGGGCAGAUUUGUUAGAGUUUUGGCAGGUGUUAACUCUGUUAACUUUUCCAAGUGUAGGUACGUGAGCUAUGUCAUCCACUCUACAUGGUGGAACUUCUGUAUCUUCGUUUCUUCUGGUCUCAUACCUUAAACCUCUGCUUGGUUACCAAACUGGAAUCCACUGUUGCUUGCAAGUUGUUCAAUCCUUGCCUUGUAUCACCAUCAGUAGUGAAUAUGAUGGCCUUAAGGACGUAAUACUAGAGGCAUAAUGACCAUCAUUGCCGGUAAAAAUACGACUCCUUUGCAAAAUCAAACCAACAAUAGGAAAAAAAGAAUCACUAAUCAUCUUGAAGAAAUUAAGCUUCAUUAUGCUAUCAGUAAAUCCCGCAGAAGAAGCAUUCUUCUUGAAAAUAUGGAAAGAGGGACUCUUUGAUUGUCCAAGCUGCGACACGCUGGAAGAUCCCAAUUUGUUCAACCUCAUCACUUCAGGAAUUGACGGAAACACCAGAACUGCAUCAAGUUUGUCCCUUUCUUUCUCAACAGCAGUCUUCACUCUGAGUGUAAGCUCUUCAACAAAGAUCAAAGAACCAAUGGAGAUUUUAUUAUCUUCUAAAUCCUUACAGAAACAAUUGUAUGUCGAUACAUCACGAAGCUCUUCGACUAAGUAACCGACAACUUCAAAACAAGCAUCUUUUUGUUGGUGUAUUAAUUAAUUAGUGAAGUCAAAGUUGAGUUAAUACUAGGAGAAAUGAAAGCUAGCUUGAGUUAAUUGGUUAGUGGUUAAUAGUUGGAUAUGUUAUGGUGGAAUAUGAAGAAUCCAAAAUGGAGAUAGGCGCAUUAGAAAUUAGUGGUUGACUUUAGUCAAUUAUUGACCCAAAAAAUCAACAGUUGACUAAAAAGUCAACCUUGCAAAAACCUACAUUUCUUUGUAAUUUUGUGUAUAAACCAUAUAAAUUGAUACUUAAAUGAAAUGUAAUGAAAAAUUUGAACGAAAA